AUUGAACGCUGGCGGCAGGCUUAACACAUGCAAGUCGAGCGAGCGGCGGACGGGUGAGUAAUGUCUGGGAAACUGCCUGAUGGAGGGGGAUAACUACUGGAAACGGUAGCUAAUACCGCAUACCAUCGGAUGUGCCCAGAUGGGAUUAGCUAGUAGGUGGGGUAAAGGCUCACCUAGGCGACGAUCCCUAGCUGGUCUGAGAGGAUGACCAGCCACACUGGAACUUAGACACGGUGCAGACUCCUACGUGAGGCAGCAGUGGGGAAUUUUGGGCAAUGGUCGUUAGGCUGAUGCAGCCAGGCCGCGCGUAUGAAGAAGUCCUUCGUGUUGUAAAGUACUAUCGUCGGGGAGGCGUUACCCGCAGAAGAAGCACCGGCUAACUCCGUGCCAGCAGCCGCGGUAAUUC
rnacentral:rRNA from 1 species